rnacentral:rRNA from 1 species
AUACGUAGGUGACAAGCGUUAUCCGGAUUUACUGGGUGUAAAGGGCGUGUAGGCGGUUUAGCAAGUCAGAAGUGAAAUUCCCGGGCUUAACUUGGGCGCUGCUUCUGAAACUGCUUUACUUGAGUGCUGGCGAGGAUAGUGGAAUUCCUAGUGUAGCGGUAAAAUGCGCAGAUAUUAGGAGGAACACCGGUGGCGAAGGCGGCUAUCUGGACAGUAACUGACGCUGAGGCGCGAAAGCACGGGGAGCAAACAGGAUUAGAUACCCUGGUAGUCCGUGCCGUAAACGAUGAAUACUAGGUGUAGGGGGUAUCGACUCCCUCUGUGCCGCAGUUAACACAUUAAGUAUUCCACCUGGGGAGUACGGCCGCAAGGUUGAAACUUAAAGGAAUUGACGGGG